GGGGAACUUCAUUAGCAAUGUCAUGUGGAGGAACAUUUUGGGACAAUCUUUUUACCAAUUUGUAGUCAUAUGGUAUCUUCAAACUACUGGCAAAGCUCUCUUUCAUCUUGAUGGAUCAGAUGCUGACUUGAUUUUGAACACAGUCAUCUUCAACUCUUUUGUGUUCUGUCAGGUUUUCAAUGAGAUUAGCUCUAGAGAUAU
rnacentral:misc_RNA from 1 species